UGGGUAACUGCAGAACACUGUAUGAUAUAAGAAGGUAGUGUGACUCACAGAAGCCUUGGUGUUGAGGUGUGUGUGAGUACUGUAUGACUCACAGAAGCCUUGGUGUUGAGGUGUGUGUGUGAGUACUGUAUGACUCACAGAAGCCUUGGUGUUGAGGUGUGUGUGUGAGUACUGUAUGACUCACAGAAGCCUUGGUGUUGAGGUGUGUGUGUGAGUACUGUAUGACUCACAGAAGCCUUGGUGUUGAGGUGUGUGUGUGAGUACUGUAUGACUCACAGAAGCCUUGGUGUUGAGGUGUGUGUGUGAGUACUGUAUGACUCACAGAAGCCUUGGUGUUGAGGUGUGUGUGUGAGUACUGUAUGACUCACAGAAGCCUUGGUGUUGAGGUGUGUGUGUGAGUACUGUAUGACUCACAGAAGCCUUGGUGUUGAGGUGUGUGUGUGAGUACUGUAUGACUCACAGAAGCCUUGGUGUUGAGGUGUGUGUGUGAGUACUGUAUGACUCACAGAAGCCUUGGUGUUGAGGUGUGUGUGUGUGAGUACUGUAUGACUCACAGGGACGCUGGAGUUGUGGUUCAACUUCUCUCUGACUUUAAUGAUGGCCGUGAUCUCAUCCAGCUGUCUUUUCAGCUGCAGCUCAUCCACCUGAACCGCAAAAC